rnacentral:rRNA from 1 species
GACGAACGCUGGCGGCGUGCUUAACACAUGCGAGUCGAACGGAAAGGCCCUGCUUUUGUGGGGUGCUCGAGUGGCGAACGGGUGAGUAACACGUGAGUAACCUGCCCUUGACUUUGGGAUAACUUCAGGAAACUGGGGCUAAUACCGGAUAGGAGCUCCUGCUGCAUGGGGGGGGUUGGAAAGUGUCGGCGGUUGGGGAUGGACUCGCGGCUUAUCAGCUUGUUGGUGGGGUAGUGGCUUACCAAGGCUUUGACGGGUAGCCGGCCUGAGAGGGUGACCGGCGACAUGGGGACUGAGAUACGGACCAGACUGCUACGGGAGGCAGCAGUGGGGAAUAUUGCGCAAUGGGCGGAAGCCUGAUGCAGCAGCGCCGCGUGCGGGAUGACGGCCUUCGGGUUGUAAACCGCUUUCGCCUGUGACGAAGCGUGAGUGACGGUAAUGUGUAAAGAAGCACCGGCUAACUACGUG